GAUGAACGCUGGCGGCGUGCCUAAUACAUGCAAGUCGAGCGAACAGACGAGGAGCUUGCUCCUCUGACGUUAGCGGCGGACGGGUGAGUAACACGUGGAUAACCUACCUAUAAGACUGGGAUAACUUCGGGAAACCGGAGCUAAUACCGGAUAAUAUAUUGUACCGCAUGGUUCAAUAGUGAAAGACGGCUUUGCUGUCACUUAUAGACGGAUCCGCGCCGCAUUAGCUAGUUGGUAAGGUAACGGCCUACCAAGGCAACGAUGCGUAGCCGACCUGAGAGGGUGAUCGGCCACACUGGAACUGAGACACGGUCCAGACUCCUACGGGAGGCAGCAGUAGGGAAUCUUCCGCAAUGGGCGAAAGCCUGACGGAGCAACGCCGCGUGAGUGAUGAAGGUCUUCGGAUCGUAAAACUCUGUUAUUAGGGAAGAACAAAUGUGUAAGUAACUAUGCACGUCUUGACGGUACCUAAUCAGAAAGCCACGGCUAACUACGUG
rnacentral:rRNA from 1 species